UAAGUGCAGAGUGUGAAGGUUCAAUUAGCAGGCCUCAGAUGUCAGCUGAUCACUCUGCUGUUGUUGGGGUCCAGCCGGAACUUGAUUCAGGAAAUACUUCUUGUUUGAAGCUAACAGCUCUGCUCCAGCUCAAUUCAGAGUCAUUCCAUCAGACUUGAACAGCAGGUGGAAAAAGACGUGUGRCUCSAAGUAUAAACCAAGCUUACUYGAUCCAGCAUGUUGAAGAUGAUGAAGCUGUCGGCUGGAGUCAUUAUUUCUCUGCUGACUCUAACAGCYU